rnacentral:rRNA from 1 species
GACGAACGCUGGCGGCGUGCUUAACACAUGCAAGUCGAACGGAAAGGCCUUUUCGGAGGUACUCGAGUGGCGAACGGGUGAGUAACACGUGGGUGAUCUGCCCUGCACUCUGGGAUAAGCCUGGGAAACUGGGUCUAAUACCGGAUAGGACCGCACUUUAGUGUGUGUGGUGGAAAGUUUUUUCGGUGUAGGAUGAGCCCGCGGCCUAUCGGCUUGUUGGUGGGGUAAUGGCCUACCAAGGCGGCGACGGGUAGCCGGACUGAGAGGUUGGUCGGCCACAUUGGGACUGAGAUAAGGCCGAGACGCCUACGGGAGGCAGCAGUGGGGAAGAUUGCACAAUGGGCGCAAGCCUGAUGCAGCGACGCCGCGUGGGGGAUGACGGCCUUCGGGUUGUAAACUCCUUUCGCCAGGGACGAAGCGUUUUGUGACGGUACCUGGAGAAGAAGCACCGGCUAACUACGUG